AAAAAAGGUAAGCUACUAAGAGCGAAUGGUGGAUGCCUUGACUGGUAAAGGCGAUGAAGGACGUACUAGACUGCGAUAAGCUACGGGGAGCUGUCAAGAAGCUUUGAUCCGUAGAUUUCCGAAUGGGGCAACCCAAUGUAUAGAGAUAUACAUUACCUAUAUAGGAGCGAACGAGGGGAAUUGAAACAUCUUAGUACCCUCAGGAAAAGAAAUCAAUAGAGAUUGCGUCAGUAGCGGCGAGCGAAAGCGCAAGAGGGCAAACCCAGUGCUUGCACUGGGGGUUGUAGGACUGCAAUGUGCAAGAGGUGAGUUUAGCAGAACAUUCUGGAAAGUAUAGCCAUAGAGGGUGAUAGUCCCGUAUGCGAAAAACAAACCUUAGCUAGCAGUAUCCUGAGUAGGGCGGGACACGAGAAAUCCUGUCUGAAGCUGGGUCGACCACGAUCCAACCCUAAAUACUAAUACCAGAUCGAUAGUGCACAAGUACCGUGAGGGAAAGGUGAAAAGAACUGAGGUGAUCAGAGUGAAAUAGAACCUGAAACCAUUUGCUUACAAUCAUUCAGAGCCCUAUGUAGCAAUACAGGGUGAUGGACUGCCUUUUGCAUAAUGAGCCUGCGAGUUGUGGUGUCUGGCAAGGUUAAGCAAACGCGAAGCCGUAGCGAAAGCGAGUCUGAAUAGGGCGCUUAGUCAGAUGCUGCAGACCCGAAACGAAGUGAUCUAUCCAUGAGCAAGUUGAAGCUAGUGUAAGAACUAGUGGAGGACUGAACCCAUAGGCGUUGAAAAGCCCCGGGAUGACUUGUGGAUAGGGGUGAAAGGCCAAUCAAACUUCGUGAUAGCUGGUUCUCUCCGAAAUAUAUUUAGGUAUAGCGUUGUGUCGUAAUAUAAGGGGGUAGAGCACUGAAUGGGCUAGGGCAUACACCAAUGUACCAAACCCUAUCAAACUCCGAAUACCUUAUAUGUAAUCACAGCAGUCAGGCGGCGAGUGAUAAAAUCCGUCGUCAAGAGGGAAACAACCCAGACUACCAGCUAAGGUCCCUAAAUCUUACUUAAGUGGAAAACGAUGUGAAGUUACUUAAACAACCAGGAGGUUGGCUUAGAAGCAGCCAUCCUUUAAAGAAAGCGUAAUAGCUCACUGGUCUAGUGAUUUUGCGCGGAAAAUAUAACGGGGCUAAAGUAAGUACCGAAGCUGUAGACUUGCGCACAACUUAGAUUAUUUAAGUUUAGAAUAUGAGAAACUAAGUUAUAUGUUUAGUUAUAUUUUUACUGAUUUUUAUAGAGUAAAGAUAGAAAUAAAACUUAGUAAAAUCAGUAAAAAUAUUCUUAGACUAAAGUUAAGUAGUUUAAGUUGUGUGCAAGUGGUAGGAGAGCGUUCUAUUUGCGUCGAAGGUAUACCGGUAAGGAGUGCUGGAGCGAAUAGAAGUGAGCAUGCAGGCAUGAGUAGCGAUAAUUAAUGUGAGAAUCAUUAACGCCGUAAACCCAAGGUUUCCUACGCGAUGCUCGUCAUCGUAGGGUUAGUCGGGUCCUAAGUCGAGUCCGAAAGGGGUAGACGAUGGCAAAUUGGUUAAUAUUCCAAUACCAACAUUAGUGUGCGAUGGAAGGACGCUUAGGGCUAAGGGGGCUAGCGGAUGGAAGUGCUAGUCUAAGGUCGUAGGAGGUUAUACAGGCAAAUCCGUAUAACAAUACUCCGAGAACUGAAAGGCUUUUUGAAGUCUUCGGAUGGAUAGAAGAACCCCUGAUGCCGUCGAGCCAAGAAAAGUUUCUAAGUUUAGCUAAUGUUGCCCGUACCGUAAACCGACACAGGUGGGUGGGAUGAGUAUUCUAAGGCGCGUGGAAGAACUCUCUUUAAGGAACUCUGCAAAAUAGCACCGUAUCUUCGGUAUAAGGUGUGGUUAGCUUUGUAUUAGGAUUUACUCCGAAAGCAAGGAAACUUACAACAAAGAGUCCCUCCCGACUGUUUACCAAAAACACAGCACUCUGCUAACUCGUAAGAGGAUGUAUAGGGUGUGACGCCUGCCCGGUGCUCGAAGGUUAAUUGAUGGGGUUAGCAUUAGCGAAGCUCUUGAUCGAAGCCCGAGUAAACGGCGGCCGUAACUAUAACGGUCCUAAGGUAGCGAAAUUCCUUGUCGGUUAAAUACCGACCUGCAUGAAUGGCGUAACGAGAUGGGAGCUGUCUCAAAGAGGGAUCCAGUGAAAUUGUAGUGGAGGUGAAAAUUCCUCCUACCCGCGGCAAGACGGAAAGACCCCGUGGACCUU
rnacentral:rRNA from 1 species